UACGGAGGGUGCAAGCGUUAAUCGGAAUUACUUGGCGUAAAGCGCACGCAGGCGGUUGGGUAAGUUAGAUGUGAAAGCCCCGGGCUCAACCUGGGAAUUGCAUUUAAAACUGUCCAGCUUGAGUCUUUUAGAGGGGGGUAGAAUUCCAGGUGUAGCGGUGAAAUGCGUAGAGAUCUGGAGGAAUACCGGUGGCGAAGGCGGCCCCCUGGACAAAGACUGACGCUCAGGUGCGAAAGCGUGGGGAGCAAACAGG
rnacentral:rRNA from 1 species